UUAACCGGUGAAAAUUAUGCACCAAGAUAGAAAUAGAGAGGAGCAAUGAGGGCACGGAGAGUAACAGAGGAAGAGAGAGGCGAUUUUGCAGACCCAAAACACCGUUUACCGCAAAACAAAACCCAAUUCUCUUCUAAAAACUGAAAUUAAAACCCAUAACUCCUCUGUCUUCUCAGAAAGAUUGCUACAUGGAGAAAGGAGAAAGAGAGAUCGACAAAAAAGAGAGACAGAGAAAUAGAGAGGCAGAGAUAGAGAGAAGGGCGCCGCCCAGAUCUCCUGCCAUCACUGUAAGGGCGCCUUCCAUUUUUCCUACUACACAGAGAUGAGAAGGAGACAAACAUUGAGAGGACUACCACUUAACAGAAAGUAGAAAAGGUCAAGAGAGAAUCAAAAGCAUGUCCAACAAAGGAUGUAAUUUCACCAUGAUUGGUUGGAGAUUUGGAGUUGACGGAAUACCCCUUCACUUUCUCUAAAACAAUCUAUCACUAACACAGAUUUACACUGUUCUCUACCAGAUACGAUGGUUUGGUAUUUUGCAAGAAGAGAUACCGAAUCAUAUUGAAAGGUUUAGAAGCAGAUAAGAUCAUUGGUUGUUGUUCAAGAAGAGUUACUAAAUUAAAUUGAAAGGCAUUUGUGAUGGAUGCACCCAGUUACUCAACAAGUCACAAACUUGAAGUGCUUUUGCAUGCUCAUAUUUCAAGUUACAAUUUGAUGUAAGAGUAAACAUUGGUAAUGAAUACCCCUAGUUACUAAGCAACUCAAAACAUUAGAGUAAAUGGAACUUUGUACAAUUUUCUUCUUCUU